rnacentral:rRNA from 2 species
AGGCGGUCUAUCAUGCAAGUCGAACGAACUCUGGUAUUGAUUGGUGCUUGCAUCAUGAUUUACAUUUGAGUGAGUGGCGAACUGGUGAGUAACACGUGGGAAACCUGCCCAGAAGCGGGGGAUAACACCUGGAAACAGAUGCUAAUACCGCAUAACAACUUGGACCGCAUGGUCCGAGUUUGAAAGAUGGCUUCGGCUAUCACUUUUGGAUGGUCCCGCGGCGUAUUAGCUAGAUGGUGGGGUAACGGCUCACCAUGGCAAUGAUACGUAGCCGACCUGAGAGGGUAAUCGGCCACAUUGGGACUGAGACACGGCCCAAACUCCUACGGGAGGCAGCAGUAGGGAAUCUUCCACAAUGGACGAAAGUCUGAUGGAGCAACGCCGCGUGAGUGAAGAAGGGUUUCGGCUCGUAAAACUCUGUUGUUAAAGAAGAACAUAUCUGAGAGUAACUGUUCAGGUAUUGACGGUAUUUAACCAGAAAGCCACGGCUAACUACGUGCCAGCAGCCGCGGUAAUACGUAGGUGGCAAGCGUUGUCCGGAUUUAUUGGGCGUAAAGCGAGCGCAGGCGGUUUUUUAAGUCUGAUGUGAAAGCCUUCGGCUCAACCGAAGAAGUGCAUCGGAAACUGGGAAACUUGAGUGCAGAAGAGGACAGUGGAACUCCAUGUGUAGCGGUGAAAUGCGUAGAUAUAUGGAAGAACACCAGUGGCGAAGGCGGCUGUCUGGUCUGUAACUGACGCUGAGGCUCGAAAGUAUGGGUAGCAAACAGGAUUUAGAUACCCUGGUAGUCCAUACCGUAAACGAUGAAUGCUAAGUGUUGGAGGGUUUCCGCCCUUCAGUGCUGCAGCUAACGCAUUAAGCAUUCCGCCUGGGGAGUACGGCCGCAAGGCUGAAACUCAAAGGAAUUGACGGGGGCCCGCACAAGCGGUGGAGCAUGUGGUUUAAUUCGAAGCUACGCGAAGAACCUUACCAGGUCUUGACAUACUAUGCAAAUCUAAGAGAUUAGACGUUCCCUUCGGGGACAUGGAUACAGGUGGUGCAUGGUUGUCGUCAGCUCGUGUCGUGAGAUGUUGGGUUAAGUCCCGCAACGAGCGCAACCCUUAUUAUCAGUUGCCAGCAUUAAGUUGGGCACUCUGGUGAGACUGCCGGUGACAAACCGGAGGAAGGUGGGGAUGACGUCAAAUCAUCAUGCCCCUUAUGACCUGGGCUACACACGUGCUACAAUGGAUGGUACAACGAGUUGCGAACUCGCGAGAGUAAGCUAAUCUCUUAAAGCCAUUCUCAGUUCGGAUUGUAGGCUGCAACUCGCCUACAUGAAGUCGGAAUCGCUAGUAAUCGCGGAUCAGCAUGCCGCGGUGAAUACGUUCCCGGGCCUUGUACACACCGCCCGUCACACCAUGAGAGUUUGUAACACCCAAAGUCGGUGGGGUAACCUUUUAGGAACCAGCCGCCUAAGGUGGGACAGAUGAUUAGGGUGAAGUCGACAGGC